rnacentral:rRNA from 1 species
GAUGAACGCUAGCUGGAGGCUUAAUACAUGCAAGUCGAGCGGGGAUUGGUAGACGAAUACCAAUUGAGAGCGGCGCACGGGUGAGUAACGCGUACACGACCUACCUCUGACAGGGGGAUAGCCCUGGGAAACUGGGAUUAAUACCGCAUAUUAUUCUGAUUAAUAAAGGAUUGGAAUGAAAGUUCAGGCGGUCAGAGAUGGGUGUGCGUCUGAUUAGCUAGUUGGUAGGGUAACGGCCUACCAAGGCGAUGAUCAGUAGGGGGCGUGAGAGCGUGGUCCCCCACACGGGUACUGAGACACGGACCCGACUCCUACGGGAGGCAGCAGUAAGGAAUAUUGGACAAUGGCCGAAAGGCUGAUCCAGCCAUCCAGCGUGCAGGAAGAAGGCCCUAUGGGUUGUAAACUGCUUUUCCCCGGGGCGAAUAACCCCCUCGCGAGGGGGAUGCCGGUACCGGGGAAUAAGGAUCGGCUAACUCCGUGCCAGCAGCCGCGGUAAACCUAGUCUACG